AAUACAUAAACAGCAAUCAGGAAGGACCUUAUUUGCAUGCUAACACUUGUACACUUUUUCUAGCCUUUGUCAACCAGAGUCUGGAAAAGAAUUAAGUUCUAAGAUCCUAAGGGAUCCAUUAAUUUCUCUUCGGGAGGUGCUGAGAUUCCGGGGCCCGGCGGCCGUGGGCAGCGGGUGCCCGUUAGGAACCGGGCAGUCGGCCUCCUCUCGUUACCCUUUGGGGGUUCUUUUUGUAAUAGAAGCAGAAACGAGACCCCAGCAGUCUGUAAACCCGGGCCAAGCCGGCGUGGUACAACCACAAAGUGCUACUCUCCAGCGCCAGAGGAGGCCCGAGGCCCUGAGGUUCCCAGCCCCGAGGUUCGAGGUUCGAGGUUCACCUCAGAACCCCAAGCUUCCCUCGAAGGAUGGGAGCCUAAAUCAAAAAGCAAAUUUAAAUCUUGCAAUCACUGCUGGGAAGUGAGCUGUAUCAUCCUGAGAAAUCAGACCAUAGAGACAGGCCUGCAGCUGGCAGCCUGGGUCAUCUUUAAUCGCUUAACCCUUCAUAUCAAAGAACGGCUUGUAGCAGCGGAUUCCUUCUCCAGAAUUUCCCAUGGCAGAUUUUCUCAAGGAAAAGCUCUGAAUCAAUUACGGUACCAUUCCUAGAGAUGGACCUGGAGUUUAUCAAGCCUGGCCAGGUGGCAUGGAGCGGGAAGGACAAUCUGGGGUGUGGAGAGGCUCGAGCAAAGCAGUGUGUGGGAAGAUGCUGAGUGCAGAUGAGCAGAUGGAGGCUUUAAGAGGGAGGAGACUUGCCCAAGAUGUGCUACUCAUGAGUAAGUGUAUUUGACCAAUCUAGCUUCAGAGCUUAGGCCAUGUGGCUUUGAUACACAUGGAUAGAUGGGAGGAAAGGGGCUGUGAGGAGCUGUGCCCAUGGCAGGAAGCACCUGUGCAGGUUGGUGGAAACUUUUCUUCUGAUGUCUGAUGACUUUCACAUAUUUCUUGUCUUUGGGGGUCUUCCUGUUGUUCCCCUUCUUUCUCCACUCAGGAAAUGGGAACAUUAUUUACAUAGCCAUUUCUAAGCAGAUGAGCAUUAGUGUGAGAACCUCUUUGGAAUUCCUAGGUGAAGAGUUGUGUACAAAGACAGAGCAUUUUUGUACCAGCAAGUGGUGAAAAAUAAGGAGCAUCUCGAAGAAU
rnacentral:lncRNA from 1 species